CUCUUGGAGGCAUAAUUAUUAUUAAUGGGACCCAUACAUCAAAUGUGGUUUGUGGUGGAUUCUUAGCAAAGACUACAAAAUCACCAGGCCCAUCAUCAGAGGUCAACACCACCACAGACACAAGGCAAGUUUUGGUACCAUCACCUGGAGAAAGUCAUUUGCAAAUUAUCUAUAUUGUAGCCUCCUGUGCAGUCAGCUUGUUGUUCAUAGCAAUUUGUGUUGCAUGCCGGUGGAAACUUACUGAAAAAAUUAAACACGUUUGCCAAGAAAUUCCAAAGCCUAUAGUGAAACAGACAGAAGAAGAAGAUGGCUGUAGCUGCCACUUUCCAGAAGAGGAAAAUGGAGGGGAAAAUGAACCCAUGACACUGGAAGCCUGACACUGCUACACCUCCACUUCUCUAUAUAGACAAGAUCAGGUUUUUUCUCCUACAGCGUUACACAGGAUUACCUUUAUAUUACGUGGAUGGUUCAGAAUUAAGAGGAUUCCUGACAACUAUUAGUUCAGAUCUAAACCUAUUAUGAUAUAAACUUCAUGGUGCAGAAAAGUACAACUAGAGGUCCAUGGGUCCAUAUAAACAAGGCAGAGACUUGGAGAACACUGCUCAAAGAUCUGGAGGAAUAUCCAUUCUCAGAGCAUUGCCUUACAGUUCUGUAUCCAAUGAGCUAAUAUUGGUCUAUAGCUGGAUCACACUGGCCCACCAGAAGACUAAGAGACCAGCAGUGCGCACAGACAGAAUCAUAAUGAAACAUUGAUACAAUAGUGGCCAUGAAAAGUGUGCAUAACCCCAACACAUUUUUUCACAAAUAACUUAUUAGUCUUUGUUGAGAAUAAAGACAGAAAUGGACAGAAAUGGCAGCUUUACAGUUUAAAUCGAAUGCCUUUUACAAGCAAAGUUUUUGCUCCAUGUGAUAGAAACUGCAAAAAAUCCUUAUUAGGCCCCUUGCAGACGUGCGCAUGCGGAUUAGGUCCGGAUGCGUUGCGAAUGCGUUCAGUCAAAAAUGCGCGAUUUCGCAAACAGUUUUGUAUGCGAUUGC